rnacentral:rRNA from 1 species
UAGAUACCCUAUUAUUUUGGAUAUAAAAUUUUAAUCUUGAGUAGUAUUAGAUACGGACUUGAAACUUAAAGAAUUUGGCGGUAUUUUAGUCUAGUUAGAGGAAUCUGUUCCAUUAUCGAUAGUCCACGUUGAACCUUACUUAAUUUAAUUUAAUAUGUAUACCGCCGUUUAUUUGUAAAUCUUUUUAGGGUUAAAUUUUCUUUAAAUUUUAAUUAAUUUUAGUUCAGGUCAAGGUGCAGUUGAUAAUUAAGUGGAGAUGGAUUACAAUAUUUUAAAAAUAAAUGAAUUAAUAUUUGAAAAAAAUAUUAUGAAGGUGGAUUUAAUAGUAAUUAAUAAUAAGAAUUAUUCUUGUGAUUUUGGCUCUAAAAUGUGUACACAUCGCCCGUCACUCUCGUUAUUAAGAUGAGAUAAGUC